rnacentral:rRNA from 1 species
GAUGAACGCUGGCGGCGUGCUUAACACAUGCAAGUCGAACGGAAAGGCCAGUGCUUGCACUGGUGCUCGAGUGGCGAACGGGUGAGUAACACGUGGGUGAUCUGCCCUGCACUUUGGGAUAAGCCUGGGAAACUGGGUCUAAUACCAGAUAGGACCAUGCUUUGGAUGGUGUGGUGGAAAGUUUUUUCGGUGUGGGAUGAGCUUGCGGCCUAUCAGCUUGUUGGUGGGGUAAUGGCCUACCAAGGCGUCGACGGGUAGCCGGCCUGAGAGGGUGUACGGCCACAUUGGGGCUGAGAUACGGCCCAGACUCCUACGGGAGGCAGCAGUGGGGAAUAUUGCACAAUGGGCGCAAGCCUGAUGCAGCGACGCCGCGUGGGGGAUGACGGCCUUCGGGUUGUAGACUCCUUUCGCAACUGACGAAGCUUUUUGUGACGGUAGGUUGAGAAGAAGCACCGGCUAACUACGU